rnacentral:lncRNA from 1 species
UCACAGAUUCUUACAGUAAUUUAUCUUUUACAUCAUGUGUCAUUUUAUUUUUUUUUCUUUACUCCUCUGUGUUCUGCAGGCCACUUCUUCAAGGAUUCUGCAUGGAGGCAAAGGUGUUUCUCCCCCAGUGUCCCUCAAAGACGUGGGCUUGCAAAGCUCUGUGUUGCGAUGAUUGUGCGUUAUGGUCCCAUACCCUGACCACUCAACUGGUUCACAAUCCGUAGUUGUGUGGAAUUGAUGUCCCUCUCUGUGCUCUCUGGAGCACUGGUGCAUGCAAACGCAGGACCUGCGAAAGGAACUUAACCGGGGACUGACCACGGAGCUCUCCGACUGUCAUUGUUUCUCUCCGCAUUUGUUAGGGCAAAUAUCCUUUCAUCUUCUGCCUGUGGAGGAUCUCGGGAAAAUUAUCUAUCUGUUCAAAAGCAAUAAGAGAAUUAAAAAUAAACUGCCUAAAAAUAGAUUGUGUCCCCAAGGGAAAUAAAUAGAUAGGAAAUAGUAAAGAAAGAAAUGCACUUUAAAAAUGGCACCUUUUCCAUUAGAGAGGGAGAGAGAGAGAGCUCUCCAGUCACCUCUCUGUGUGCGUUUGAAGUGCAGGAAACCAAAGACUGUCUGGUCCCACAGUAAGUGCCCUGUAUCACUGCCCCUCCCCACCCCUGUGGCUCAGCUCCCUGCUGAUGAGCAGGGGUCUCGGCUCUCCUGCAAUUAGCACAGCCUGGUCAGAGCCGCGUCUCCGAGCCUGCAGGCAAUGAGGGGCCCUGGCUCUCACUGUGGUUCAGUCCCGUUAAUGGAGCUCUUCCAGCAGGAUGGAGUGACUCCGAGGCGACAGAGCAAGAGCACAGCUGGGAGGGAAGGCAGGCAGAAAGAACAGAGAGAGCCAAACAACAAUAAGAUGAUGAGAAAGGUUACACACAAGAGGAGGCAAUUACAAGCUGGCCCCUGCCAGGGUCCCAGUCCAGGGUGAGACCCCAUGUCCAGCAGAUCCCAAGUCGAUGGUGAACCCCUGCAUCUUGAAGAUCCCCAGUCCAGGCCAAGCCCCUACAUCCAGCAGAUGCCCACUCCAAGGUGAACCCCUGCAUCCUGCAGAUCUCCACUCCAGGACCAACCCCAACAUCCUGCAGAUCCCCAGUCCAGGACCAACCCCUACAUCCUGAAGAUCCCCAUUCCAGGCCAAGCCCCUAUAUCCUGCAGAUCCCCAGUCCAGGACCAACCCCUACAGUACAUCCUGCAUAUCCCAGCCAGAACCUGAUUCCAGGUUAAACCUUAUCAUAUAUAUAUAAAUGAGCCCUGUGUAUCUCAGCCAGUGUCCCAAACACUGGAGGUUAUUGUCUCAUUAAACAAAAGGGGAAUAAAAAAAAUAUU